GCUAAUAAAGGAAUUGAAUCUCUUGGUAAUUACAGAUGGAAGCUUGCAACAUGAGAGUGUUUUCCCUCGAAUAGAGGGAUGUUCCUGCCAAGGCUUGGAUCGUCUUGGAGGAAGUGGAGUGCUGUCAGAACCACGUGAUGCUGAGCUGGAAACUUCUGGGGCCAGAUCCUGUGGCUGGAGAAGGUCUAUACUUUGCCUCAGAAAAGACUUAUUGUCAAGUGUUUGAAAGUCUGGGUGAAUCACCAGUCUUUUCCAGAUUUGAAAAGGAGGAGAAUAAUUUGAAUUCAAAUGCGACUUCAAAAUGAAGAGUUUUGUUUUUUUCCCCAGGAUUGAAAUAGGCAUAAUUUUAACAAAGCUUCUCGUGUGUAUUUCUAUCAAACUAAAUUGUAACUACAGUUUUGUUUAGCACAAGGUUGAAAUUUUUGAUAAUGAGAAAUUUGGGCAGCUUCACUUGAACCGUUGACAUUGGAAAGCUGCAGAAAAUCUGAGAAAUGCUGACAACUCUUUUUAGAUGUUUAGUUAAAUAACCAUGAAUUUGGGAAGAGGCUUCUUUAUCCCUGCUUCACAUUGGUUCUCUCCGCUAACGCUCUAUAGUGUUACUGUUGAUGGGAACCCAACAAAUAACAUUUCAAAGCCAUUUUCUUCCUCCUGAUGUGAAUGUUGAUAUGACUCUGCUCCUGGCCUAUCCUGGCUGCUGCGAUCCUCUUCUCUUGGCCCUUGCUCACUGAAGAAGCCCAUAUUUUCUCCUGGAAGUGCUGCUGUACAUAAUCAAAAGCUUGUGGCUCUUGCAACUUGGAGCGAGUCGGCCUUGCAGCUUCCUCAGCUGGCUAAUGCCAUCUUAGUUGAAAAGCUGCAACACUGAAAAGCAAACAAAGAGGAGGAUUAGACCAAACUAGUUCCAGAGCACGCAUCGUACAUACUAAUGUCUUGUGGAAACGAGAGAAGGCGGCUGAAAAAAUAUUACCCAUGCUGUAAAGAGAACGCAAGCCUGCUUUCUGAAACCCUGGCUCCUCCUGCCAAUCAGAUAGGGAGUACUGUG
rnacentral:lncRNA from 1 species